UAAGUAGUUGCAUUUGUCAAGGCACAGAAGAGGCUGUACUUCCUGAGAAUGCUCAGGAAGAUAAAUCUAUCUCAGCAUCUACUUCUGUCCUACUACCACAGCACCAUUGAGAGUAUCCCGACAUACAGCAUUCUUGCAUGAUAUGGGAGCAGCUUUGU